CCAGCUCCAAUAGCGUAUAUUUAAGUUGUUGCAGUUAAAAAGCUCGUAGUUGGAUUUCGGGUGGGUUCUACCGGUCCGCCUAUGGUGAGUACUGGUAUGGCCUUCCUUUCUAUCGGGGACGCGCGUCUGGGCUUCACUGUCCGGGCCGUGGAUUCGAUACUGUUACUUUGAGUAAAUUAGAGUGUUCAAAGCAGGCUUACGCCUGAAUACUUUAGCAUGGAAUAACACGAUAGGACUCUGGCCUAUCUUGUUGGUCUGUAGGACCGGAGUAAUGAUUAAGAGGGACAGUCGGGGGCAUUCGUAUUUCAUUGUCAGAGGUGAAAUUCUUGGAUUUAUGAAAGACGAACUACUGCGAAAGCAUUUGCCAAGGAUGUUUUCA
rnacentral:rRNA from 1 species